UGGGGAAUCUUGGACAAUGGGGGCAACCCUGAUCCAGCCAUGCCGCGUGAGUGAUGAAGGCCUUAGGGUCGUAAAGCUCUUUCGCCUGUGAAGAUAAUGACGGUAGCAGGUAAAGAAACCCCGGCUAACUCCGUGCCAGCAGCCGCGGUAAUACGGAGGGGGUUAGCGUUGUUCGGAAUUACUGGGCGUAAAGCGCACGUAGGCGGACCAGAAAGUUGGGGGUGAAAUCCCGGGGGCUCAACCCCGGAACUGCCUCCAAAACUAUUGGUCUAGAGUUCGAGAGAGGUGAGUGGAAUUCCAAGUGUAGAGGUGAAAUUCGUAGAUAUUUGGAGGAACACCAGUGGCGAAGGCGGCUCACUGGCUCGAUACUGACGCUGAGGUGCGAAAGUGUGGGGAGCAAAACAGGAUUAGAUACCCUGGUAGUCCACACCGUAAAACGAUGAAUGCCAGUCGUCGGGUAGCAUGCUAUUCGGUGACACACCUAACGGAUUAAGCAUUCCGCCUGGGGAGUACGGUCGCAAGAUUAAAACUCAAAGGAAUU
rnacentral:rRNA from 1 species